ACUAUAAUAGUUUAUUUAGAAUAUUAAUUUGUGGAAUUAAAGGUGUAGGUCUUACUUUUAGUA
rnacentral:tRNA from 1 species